UACAUGGGGUGCAAACGUUGCUCGGAAUUAUUGGGCGUAAAGCGCACGUAGGCGGUCCGUUAAGUCAGAUGUGAAAGCCCCCGGCUCAACCGGGGAAGUGCAUCUGAAACUGGCGGGCUAGAGUACGAAAGAGGGUCGCGGAAUUCCCGGUGUAGAGGUGAAAUUCGUAGAUAUCGGGAGGAACACCGGUGGCGAAGGCGGCGACCUGGGUCGAUACUGACGCUGAGACGCGAAAGCAUGGGGAGCAAACAGG
rnacentral:rRNA from 1 species